rnacentral:rRNA from 1 species
UUCUGAACGUGACCUCGAAUACAGGUAGAU